rnacentral:lncRNA from 1 species
CAAAUAACCUUUGGAAAUGUGGGCAGAACUCCUGUGAUAAUAUAAAAUGAAAAGAGGAUGAGUUUUUCUUUUCACUUGUUUAUGUUGCACAUAUUACAUAUUUUCAUUCCUGGCCAAAACAAAAUAAACUGUUCCAUUAAUAUUGAACAAGUACAUAUUCAUCGGCAUGCAGUUUUAGCACUACAAUUUUAGACAACAAUAACUGGUUGCAGCAUAAACUAAUGUUUGUUUUACAAAAGUUUGUCAAAAUUACUUAUUUUUUGGUAUACAAGGUGGUCUGAUAUGUUGUGAGAUCUAUAAUAUUUCCUUCGAAGAUACAUAAAUUUUUGGAGGGUCACACAUACAACAUCUGCAUGACCGAGCAGGGGGGAUGCAUAUAUAGACAUGUGAUACUAUAUAACUGUGUCCAUCUUUCUCACAUACAAGAUCCUCAUCACAUGGGUCAAAAGAAUAUUCAGUAGCAUCUGGAAGCCAUGUAAUAUACAACAAGGAGUCAUCAAACCAAUUUAAUAGAUGACAUUUUGAUAAGAUUGCAGUCCGGCUAAAUGUUAAAUAAGCGGGAUGAACAACUUUGCAGGCCAAAUAAGUAUUAUUAUGCCCUUCGAUCUACACUAUAAUCUACCAGAUUAAUAAGAAGAGUAGAAACAGAAAAAAAAGAAAUCAUCAUUAUAUUAACGAAAUAAGGAACCCUGAAGAAAAUCAACAAUAAUACCUGCAAAUCUUAGCAGCCUAUGUUUCUCUUGAAUGCUCAGAAGCAACCAUACAGAUUGCAGUAAUUAUACUGGAGAAAAGAAGAAUGACAUUAAUACAAGUGGUUUGGAGUUUAAUAUGCAUGGAAACCAUCUGAAGAUUCUCACUUUAUUAAUCUACCAAUGAGUUAAACAAACAUUCAGAAAAUUAAUCAUUAAUGUGCAAUUUAAAGAAGAAGAUGCUUUAAACUGUUACUCCACACCAAAUGAUUUUGAAGACCAGGAAGUAAUGUAGAGUAGUUUUAGAAAACAUUAAAGAAAGAACACCAUGACCCAUUAUUAGUCUUAAAACUCGGAAUCAAAUCAUUGAUUACAUUAACCAACAAAACAGCAAAAGAAGCUUUGAUAACAACACAAGCUAAAAUAUAGACAAAAGUCUCCUCUGAUCCCCAACUCAAACUCCACUAACAGUUACCAAAACAUGAAACAAAUCAUUACUCCCCUUUAAACCAAACAUCAGUUACUCCUACAAAGUGUACAGAAAUCGAGAACAAAUCAUUAAACCCCACAAACCUAACAUGAUUUACACACAGUAAAGACUGAAAGAGUACAUUAAUCAAGACAGAAGACAGAUAGUGGUAAAGAAGAAGAUGAAGACAGAGAAAUUCCACAAACCAAAACUUUUCUCAAACAGAAAAGAAACAGAUUUUUGAAGACAUUGGGUUUAAUAAUGUUUGAGAAAAAAUGGAAAGUUUUGCAAAACAAGCUAGAUUCUUUACAAAGAGCACAAUUACCUGAACCUUUAUAAUAGCAACUUGUUAAUAUAGUUGUAUAAAUUCAUGAUUAAAAAAAGGAUGUAAUUUUGAGUAAAAACUUAAUUUUUUCUCACAAUAAAGCCAAACAGACCCUACAUAGUUCACCAAAUAGCUUGUAAUUUGAAAUAUUGAUUUCAAGAGUUUUUACAAACAAAAUGAAAACAAGUAACUAGAAAUAGCUCGAAAUGUUUUACAAAAGAAGAAAAAACCUGGCUUCGAUCUAAAACCCUAAUCCUUUAUAAAAUCAACUUACAUUUGAAAGGAAAACCAGUUUAAAAUGCUUAUAAAUUAAACCCAGUAAAAAGGCUUAUUUCAUAAUAAGAACAAACAAUGGAUGCUAUAAGUAGAUAUUUCUUCAUGAAAACUUUGAAGAAAAAAGGUGAUUGAUACCUUGAUCAUGUGCUUGAGAGCUAGAAAUAGAGAAGAUGAUGAAAAUGGAGAGAAAGCUAGCUAGAGAACUUCUCGUCUUCUUGCAGAAAGAAAAGAAAAGGUCUUUGAGUUUGUGAGAAGAGAAGAACUGAAGAAGCAGAGAAA